AGGCAGUGGAAACCCUAGCUGAGCCUUUACUGCUGAGCAUUUCAUUUUUGCUUAUCUCAGUCUCGAGUCAUGAGUCACCUCUCUUCCAUUUUUAGCAGAUAAAAAGGAGAGAAGGAAACCUUAUGCAAAGAAACUGUAAUGAUGCAGUAGCUCUAUGACAUCAGCUGCUGUUUGCCAGCAUAGUGCACAGCAGGUGAGGAGAGGAGCCACUCCAGAUGUUUCUGGUGAAGAAUGACUUGUCUGAAUCGACGUGGUGAUGACACAGAGGAGGAGAAGAGGGCACAGAGCUUUCCCUGCCCCUUUCCAUUCAUCACGUCCAGUGGAAACAAUGACAGUGCCACACUGGCUCCUGGCAAAUUACAGAGCCCUGCAAACAAAUCAGCCUGACUGGCAGAGGUCUUGGAAAAGUGUACUGAAAUCUGCCUUGCACAGCUCUGGAGGUUGCAUGGCUGUGGAACACAUCGCUGCUGAAAGAGGUGCUGAGCCUGUUGGGAAGAGGAGCUGGCAGAGGUGCAAAGGGAGCAGCUCUACCCUGGUAAGUGUCCUUGUCUUUAUCACAACAGGGGGAAGAUGCUCAGCAACUGGCUGAGCAGAUGAGCAGUAACUGACUGACGUUUCAGAGGUGUUUGAUUUGCUGUGACAAUCAUGGACACGAUUCCCAAAUGAAGAAAGCUCCUUGAUGGGAGGGGGGUGCCAGGUGUGGAGGGAACACCUUGCAUCACUUUGUUCCAUCUCUCAGCAGCCCAUAGGGGACAGGUAUGCAGGAGAAACUACCAGCCAUUCUCCCUGCAGGCUUAUCCUCAUCUCAGCCUUCCUUUUUCUUUGCAAAUAUGAACUCCUAGCCACUUAAGACCAACAAUUUAUUUUGUCACUAUAACUGACAUUUUUAUGUUCACAAUUCAUUUGUCGUUGAGUUAUACUUACAGAUGCCUUAAUGAAAC
rnacentral:lncRNA from 12 species